AGACGUCUACAUUAGAUACCCGGGUAGUCCCAGCCGUAAACUAUGCGCGUUAGGUGUAUCGGUGACCACGAGUCACCGAGGUGCCGAAGGGAAACCGUGAAACGUGCCGCCUGGGAAGUACGGUCGCAAGGCUGAGACUUAAAGGAAUUGGCGGGGAGCACCACAACGGGUGGAGCCUGCGGUUUAAUUGGACUCAACGCCGGGAAGCUCACCGGAUAAGACAGCGGAAUGAUUGCCGGGCUGAAGACUCUGCAUGACUAGCUG
rnacentral:rRNA from 1 species